rnacentral:misc_RNA from 1 species
GAUGAAGAACGUAGCGAAAUGCGAUAAGUAAUGUGAAUUGCAGAAUUCAGUGAAUCAUCGAAUCUUUGAACGCACCUUGCACCCUUUGGCAUUCCGAAGGGUAUGCUCGUUUGAGUGUCAUUGUACUCUCACACUCUCCGAUCCUAUGGAUUCGGGGAGCGGUGGACUUGGGUGUUGCUGCCUUUCCUUGUGGCUCACCUCAAAUGUGUCAGUGCACCUCUUGGUUGGACAUAGUACGGCGUGAUAAGUGUCUUCGCCGGCACCUCGCAAGAGGGUGGCCGAUCGGGAGCUCUGUGCUUUCAAACCGUCUUCGGACAAUUUCUGACAACUUGACCUCAAAUCGAGUAGGACUACCCGCUGAACUUAAGCAUAUCAAAAGCGGAGGA